rnacentral:rRNA from 1 species
UACAGAGGGUGCGAGCGUUGUUCGGAAUUAUUGGGCGUAAAGGGCGCGUAGGCGGUGCGGCAAGUCACCUGUGAAACCUCUGGGCUUAACCCAGAGCCUGCAGGCGAAACUGCCGUGCUGGAGUGUGGGAGAGGUGCGUGGAAUUCCCGGUGUAGCGGUGAAAUGCGUAGAUAUCGGCAGGAACACCCAGGGGGAAACCAGUGGACUGGGCAUGUGCUGACGCUCAGGUGCGAAAGCGUGGGGAGCGAACCGG